ACGUAGGGUGCAAGCGUUAAUCGGAAUUACUGGGCGUAAAGGGCGCGUAGGCGGUGUGUCAAGUCAGGCGUGAAAGCCCCGGGCUCAACCUGGGAACCGCGCUUGAGACUGGCACGCUCGAGUUCGGGAGAGGAUGGUGGAAUUCCCGGUGUAGCGGUGAAAUGCGUAGAGAUCGGGAGGAACAUCAGUGGCGAAGGCGGCCAUCUGGGACAACACUGACGCUGAAGCACGAAAGCGUGGGGAGCAAACAGGA
rnacentral:rRNA from 1 species